CAACGCCGCGUGCAGGAUGAAGGCCUUCGGGUCGUAAACUGCUUUUAUAAGUGAAAAAUUUGAUUGUAACUUAAGAAUAAGCACCGGCUAACUACGUGC
rnacentral:rRNA from 1 species